rnacentral:rRNA from 1 species
UACAGAGGGGGCAAGCGUUAAUCGGAAUUACUGGGCGUAAAGCGUGCGUAGUCGGCCGUUUAAGUCGGGUGUGAAAUCCCCGGGCUCAACCUGGGAAUUGCAUUCGAUACUGGAUGGCUAGAGUUCGGCAGAGGGAAGUGGAAUUUCCGGUGUAGCGGUGAAAUGCGUAGAUAUCGGAAGGAACAUCAGUGGCGAAAGCGACUUCCUGGACCAGAACUGACGAUCAGGCACGAAAGCGUGGGGAGCAAACAGG